rnacentral:rRNA from 1 species
ACUCAAAGGAAUUGACGGGGACCCGCACAACCAGUGGAGCGUGUGGUUCAAUUUGAGACGAAGCAAAAAACCUCACCAGGGAUUGACAUGUAUUCGUUUAUUCUUUUGGAAACAAGAGGAAAUCCGUAAGGAUGAAUACACAGGUGUUGCAUGGCUGUCGUCAGCUCGUGCCGUGAGGUGUUCCCUUAAGUGGGGAAACGAGUGCAACCCCCAUCUAGUGUUAAAUAUUCACUAGAGACUGCCCCAGCUUAGCUGGGGAGGAAGGAGGGGCGGACGUCAAGUCAGCAUGACCCUUAUACCCUGGGCUACACACACCCUACAAUGGCGAAAAACAAUGGGUUGCAAACUCGCAAGAGCAAGCUAAUCCCUGAAAUUUCGCCUCAGUUCAGAUUGGGGUCUGAAACCCGACCCCAUGAAGUCGGAAUUGGUAGUAAUCGCGGAUCAGCAGGCCGCGGUGAAUGCGUUCUCGGGUCUUGUACACACCGCCCGU